AGAGAGAGACAUGCGCGCAUAUCAAUAAGCGGAGGAAAAGAAACUAACAAGGAUUCCCUUAGUAACGGCGAGUGAAGCGGGAAGAGCUCAAAUUUGAAAUCUUCAAGGUUUUACCUUGACGAAUUGUAGUUUAAAGAAGUGUUUUCUGCUGAAGUUUUGGUAAAAGUUCUUUGGAAUAGGACAUCAUAGAGGGUGAGAAUCCCGUAUUUGACCAUUAUUUUCAGCUUUGUGAUACACUUUCAAAGAGUCGGAUUGUUUGGGAAUGCAGUCCAAAAUGGGUGGUAAAUUUCAUCUAAAGCUAAAUAUUGGCGAGAGACCGAUAGCGAACAAGUACCGUGAGGGAAAGAUGAAAAGAACUUUGAAAAGAGAGUUAAGCAGUACGUGAAAUUGUCAAAAGGGAAGCGUUUGACACCAGUGUUGUUUUCUCGAAAAUCAAUUAAAAAUGGCUCGAUUUUGUAUUGUUGAGACCUUAAAAGCUCACUGUACAUUUUUCGUGUCUUUUUUAAUGCACUUUUCGUUUAACAAGUCAACAUCAGUUUCUUUUGUUGUAAAAGGGUCAUUGGAAGGUGGCUUUCUUUUCGGAGAAAGGUGUUUAUAGCCUUUGGCCUCUGCAAUCGGAGAGACUGAGGUCUGCAGCGUAGACUCUUCGGGGUUAGAUACAUUUGUGCUAAGUUAUAGCUUUUUAUAGACAACUUGUUGACUAUAAUUAGUCUUGUAGCUUACUCGCUUAUGCUAUUUUACCUACGCUUAGGAUGUUGAAGAUGUAGCACAUCAU
rnacentral:rRNA from 1 species